UACGUAGGGUGCAAGCGUUAAUCGGAAUUACUGGGCGUAAAGCGUGCGCAGGCGGUUAUGUAAGACAGAUGUGAAAUGCCCGGGCUUAACCUGGGAACUGCAUUUGUGACUGCAUGGCUAGAGUGUGUCAGAGGGGGGUAGAAUUCCACGUGUAGCAGUGAAAUGCGUAGAUAUGUGGAGGAAUACCGAUGGCGAAGGCAGCCCCCCUGGGAUAACACUGACGCUCAUGCACGAAAGCGUGGGGAGCAAACAGG
rnacentral:rRNA from 1 species